rnacentral:rRNA from 1 species
AUGGGUAAGGAUAAGGUAAUGGAAUUGAUAGAGAAAUUCAUAGACCUAGGUAGGAUAGGAAAAUUGAUAAAGGGAAUAGAGAUGAUGAUAGAGAUCAUACUGAGAAAGAGGAUAAUUCCGUACGGGUACAACUCUUAUUUGAACGAAGUGCAAAAAAUGCGAUCUUUUUUGUCUAAUAGAACAAACACUAAUACCUUAAUUGAGUCGGUAAAGAUCAAAUCUGUUUAUCAAAGUGCUUCUCUGAUUGCUCAAGACAUCUCUUUUCAACUGAGGAACAAUCCAAUCUCAUUUCGUUCCAUUUUUAGUAAAAUAGUGAAGGAUAUUCCAUUAAUAAUGCCAAAAGGGGUGGAGGGGAUACGUAUUUGUUGUUCUGGUCGAUUAGGGGGUGCGGAAAUAGCUAGAACUGAAUGCGGAAAGUAUGGAAAAACAUCUUGUAAUGUAUUUAACCAGAAAUCGAUUAUGCUCCUGCGGAAGUAUCUACUCGUAACGGAAUUUCAGGUGUCAAAGUGCGGAUCUCAUAUAGUCAAAAUAAGAAGGGACGUGCUAUAUCCGAAACGUACAAAAUAUAGUAAAUAUUUUAAAUGCAGAUGUAGUAGGGGUCGCGAACCGGAUGGUACACAACUUGGUUUUGGAAGAUAUGGCACCAAAAGUUGUAGAGCUGGUCGUCUUUCAUAUCGAGCCAUUGAAGCAGCGCGUCGGGCUACAAUCGGACAAUUCCAUCGUGCUAUGAGCGGACAAUUCCGAAGAAAUUGUAAGAUAUGGGUAAGAGUUCUCGCAGAUCUUCCUAUUACGGGGAAACCCGCAGAAGUUCGAAUGGGAANNNNNNNNNNNNNNNNNNNNNNNNNNNNNNNNCGGGGAAACCCGUAG